AAAAUCAAUUGGGUUUCAGGAACCACGUACCUUUUCGUUUAUAUAAAAGCUCAUAGAUCGUGAGUCAAGUCUCAAAACAAUCUAAGCUUGCUAGCUGCUUACGACCCGUGGAUCAAUCAGUACCAAAGCUUGAAGAAGCAGAAUCAACAGAAGGGAUAUGGGAAGGGGCAAGAUUGAGAUCCGAAAGAUUGAUAAUUGUACUAGCAGGCAAGUGACUUUCUCAAAGCGUCGGAAGGGUUUGAUUAAGAAGGCGAAAGAGUUGGCGAUUUUAUGUGAUGCAGAAGUUGGAAUUCUCAUCUUCUCAAGAACUGGGAAGCUUUAUGAAUAUGCAAGCAACAGCAUGAAAUCAGUCCUAGAGAGAUAUAACAAAACCAAGGAGGGACACCAGCAACUUCUUAAUCCAGCAUCAGAAAUGAAGUUUUGGCAAAGGGAAGUCACACUCCUAAGGGAGCAACUGCAGAACUUGCGAGAAACCCAUCGGCAGUUCAUGGGAGAACAGCUUUGUGGUUUGAGUUUUAACGAGCUAAAGGGUCUAGAAAAUCAAUUAGAAAUGAGUCUGCAGGGUAUUCGUUUGAAAAAGGAAAGAAUAUUAACUAAUGAAAUUGAAGGCCUGAAUAAACAGGGUAAUUUUAUUCAUCAACAAAAUUUAGAGCUGUACAAGAAGGUACAACAAAAAGAAGGCAUAUUACUUAUAAGGCUUCUGAUAACAGGCUUUCGGCACAAGCGCACUGAAUCUCGAAAGUGGAAAUUGGUGUAGUUCCUUUGGUAUAAGCACAAGUGAGGACUCGCAUCUCCCCCUCCAACUUCAGCUAAGCGGUGCUGACCAACAAACUUAAGAGGCACAGGGAAGAGCAACAGAAAUGGCGGGCAGUCUAUAUAUCAAAGAAGUGCGUGAGGGUUUUGGACAAAUGCUAACCGGUCGCUUGCCCUAAUAAAUAGCAUACCUUAUGACCCAAGCAAGUACAGAAGGGUGAUUUUCGAUCUUUAUUUAUUUAUGAGAUGAACAAGUAGAACAGCUCAACGAAACUUAUAAUACUGAUAUGUUUCACUAUAUUUGUUUAACAAGUUUAA